UGCGCAGGCGGCCGGGUGUGUGAGGCGUGAAAGCCCGAUGCUUAACAUCGGAAUUGCACCUCAAACUACACGGCUAGAGCAUUGGAGAGGGUAGCGGAAUUCACGGUGUAGCAGUGAAAUGCGUAGAUAUCGUGAGGAACACCAGAGGCGAAGGCGGCUACCUGGACAAUUGCUGACGCUGGGCACGAAAGCUGGGAGCAAAAG
rnacentral:rRNA from 1 species